UACGAAGGGGGCUAGCGUUGCUCGGAAUCACUGGGCGUAAAGCGCACGUAGGCGGAUUGUUAAGUCAGGGGUGAAAUCCUGGAGCUCAACUCCAGAACUGCCUUUGAUACUGACGAUCUGGAGAUCGGGAGAGGUUGGUGGAAUUCCGAGUGUAGAGGUGAAAUUCGUAGAUAUUCGGAGGAACACCAGAAGCGAAGGCGGCCAACUGGCCCGAUACUGACGCUGAGGCGCGAAAGCGUGGGGAGCAAACAGG
rnacentral:rRNA from 1 species